rnacentral:tRNA from 1 species
GGGCGAGUGGCGGAACGGCAGACGCUGGGGACUUAAAAUCCCCUGGGAGUAACUUCCCGUGCGGGUUCGAUUCCCGCCUCGCCCA